AUAAAUAAAAUAGCAUGCAAUAAUAUCAGAUAAUAACUAUCAUAAAUAACUAACAUAAGGGAGACACAAUCCAAUACACAAAUUAUAUAUGGAUAGCCCUGCCAAGCCUCACCCAACCCCGGGUGAGGAGUACGAAAAACUCUAGGUCAUAAAUAACUAUCAUAAGGGAGACACAAGCCAAAACACAAAUCAUAUAUGGAUAGCCCCGCCAAGCCUCACCCAACCCCGGGUGAGAAAUACGAAAAACUCUAGGAGCCCCUAUCCUACAACCCUGAUACUAGGCCUCCAGACUUUCCUAUCAAGAGCCAUAUCCUCAGAAAUCCGCAUUCUAGCCAUGUCAUACCUAAUCACCUCUCCCUCUACCUCGUCGUGCGCCGACCAUCGCCAGCCACUCACAACUCCUCACCGGGGCAUCAAGACUUCUCAUCCGUACAUGCCCGAACCACCUCAACCUCGCUUCUCGCAUCUUCUCAUCAACCGGGGCCACCCCCACCUUCUCUCGAAUAACUUCAUUCUUAAUCUUAUCUAACCUGGUGAGCCCGCACAUCCACCUGAGCAUCCUCAUAUCCUCAACCUUCAUCCUCUGAACAUGAGAGUUCUUCACUGGCCAUCACUCCGCCCCAUACAACAUGGCCGAUCUAACCACAGCUCUAUAAAAUUUUCCCUUGAGUUUCUGCCAAGCAUUGGCUUUUAUUAGUCCACUGCCAAUCUUAUCCCACUCUCUUUGUUAUCCAGUAUAAUAUACAAGAAAAAAUUAUAUAGAUUAAGCAUAUGUAGAGGGGCAGGAUAAUAGAAAAAGAACUAUUUUUCCUAGAAUACCUCCAGCAGUAGCCAAGAGUACGCCAGAAAUUCCAAGAGCUCCAAAAGUACCGCUGCAUAUAAUUUGAUCUUUCCAGCUACUACUUUUGUAGCUUAUGUGGCUAGCACUACUUUCAC
rnacentral:lncRNA from 1 species